rnacentral:sRNA from 1 species
CAAACGGAUUUAUGAGCAGCUUCCAGAAGUACAGAAAAAGAGAGAAGAAGAGAAGAGAAAAUCAGAAUAUAAGUCAUACCGGCUGCGAGCCCAGCUAUAUAAAAAGAGAGUGACCAAUCAACUUCUGGGGAGAAAAGUUCCCUGGGACUGACACAAGUUUAUUUUCCUCAGAGCCUUGGAAUUCUAUUUUAUGAACCUAGAGAAGCAGAAUCCUUACUUUUCUAAGGCCCAAAGUAAUGGAGGAAGGUUUUCAACAGCCUCACUCUAAGUUCAGCAAACCCCAGUACAAAGAUUGGCAAGGGCCAGUCAUCCACCGAGAAGGCUUCCUGGGAGGCUGGAUCCAAGAGCAGGCCCUGCCCUCAAGCACAGUUCAGAGCUUUCAGAUCUUGCCCCCUGGGCUCCCUGCCAUGAAGAGGACACUGGGAAAAGAACCCAUGGUGCAUGAGGUCAACUCAUAGUUCUUCCCUUUCUUGCUGGGCAAGGUAAUGAAGCACUUUUGGCCAAUUUACCUGUAAAAUGAGAGGGUUAAUACCUCUAAGCCCCUCUUUACAUAAACUCUAAAACAAUGUGACUAUUUC